CAUGUCGAGGAUGAAUCAACUGAGCUUCUGUCACGAGGAAACAUAUGAUAAUAACGGAUAUAGUAUUGAAAUAGUGCAAACUAAUCAUAAAGCUUUUGAGAGUCUAGAAUAAAGUGUAAAGAAUUUGUUAGCUGAUUUCCCAAUCCUUACAGCUUUAGACUUCCCUUUAACACAGUUGAAAAAAACUAAAACGAGCAUUUGUUUAUUCUAACUUUUACUUCUGCAGUGACAAAAAUACACACAGUAAAAAAUAUUUUUAGCUGGAUUAAGAUAGUGCCAUUAGGUCUAAAUAUUAAAAAAAAAUAAGUUUUACAAAAAGUUUUGUAACAGUAAACAGUUAGGAAAUAGAAGAAAAAGACUAAUUUGCAUAGAAUAAACACAAAGAUCAAAGUCUAUUCCCUAUUAAACAGAUAAAAAAUUGAACCACAAAUUCUAUAAACCAAUCUGAAAAUAGAAACUGUUGGUUGCAGCUGAACAACAUGGCACCGCAUUGAGUAUGUUUUUGCAUACAAAUACAAAUCUGUCAUCAGUUUGUGUGCUUUCAUGCAGAUUGCAGCACUAGUGGCCUCAUGCCAGCAGCGGGCAGCUUUCUAAUCGGCUAAGCAGGAUACUGAUCACUGAUUGGUCGCUACGCACACAUACGACUGGGCACCAAUUCCACUGAAAUAGAGCUGCAGUGCUUCUCUAAUCUCCGCGGUGUCAUUAGCAAAGGUAGCAAUCUGCUCAAAGGCCACCAUGCUUUACCUGCUUAUCUUGUCUUAAAGAGCAAUCCACUCAGGAAUCUAGUGGAGCGACGCUCUCAUUACUCAGCAUAUUACAAACGGGCAAAAAAAUGCAAGACGUGAAGUUUGAGUUUUCUGCAUUUUAUAAAUGUUUGUAGAACAUGUUUUUAGAACUCAGUAAAAACUUAGAAAAAUGUCACUUUGAUAUACAUUUCUUUCUGUUAUUCCCUUUGCAAAACUAGUAAAAAGUAGAUGCACACAAAUGCGUUUGUUUUCGGUUUCUGCAAGUGUCAGAAUCUUCUUUUUUUUUAACUCAGAUAAGUUUAUUCUUUUAGCCUUUUGCAUCCCAGGCAGCCUUGACAAAAAGACAUGUGCUCAGAUGAACAGCCAACUCAAUGUAUUGAACUUCAGUCUGAUGCCUCACACCUUGCUCCUAAAUCCCUGGAGGAGUAGGUUUUCUUACAGUUUCAUUCAGUUGAAGACAUAAUGUCAAUUCCCGUCUCUGAAACGUAAAGUAAUUAUUGUUGUUCUAAUCAACUCAUUAGAUUUUUUCCCGUAGUUAAUUUAUUUUUUAACCCACAGUAAAGACUGCAGCACGCUUUGGAAGGCUGAUUUACGUGAAACAUUCUCAAGUGAAAAGACAUGCAGGUAUUGGAACAACGAAGCAACUCACUUGAAAAAAAAACAUGUAAAAAACUCCCAAAAUGAGGAUACAAAGCCAGAAUACAGAGCACUUACAUGGUCGAAAGAAAACAAAAAAAAAAAAACAUUAAAUGCAACUGAAUUUAAACAGACACAUACAUGGCAAAAUCAGAGAAAAAGGAGUAAAAACUGAAAAGAAGAUAAGAUGUGACGACAAGGAAGGCAUUGAGGACUCACUGAGGCAACAUGACUGGCAGCGAGUGAAAUAACUAAGCAUAACCACAACUUCACUUUUCAAAAGGCUCACAGCUUCAGUGGUGAUGUCUUAAAAAAAGUUCAUCUAGAUCAGUCACCAAACGUUAUUAUGGAAACCUUGAGCUGCAGUUAUGACUGCUGACCGGUAUGUAGGACUGACCUGUAAAGCUUCUAAAAAGCGAAAGGAACCCAGCCGUCGACCUCGAGGUACAAGACAGAAUGUGGAGUUGUACAGCAUCUCUCUGUAGUCGUACCUGCAGAACAACACAAGAGAAAAGAUAGAAAAUGAAAAAAAGAUCUGUAAGCAUUCUGAACUAACUGUUGGUGGUUUCUUUUAUUGUUGGAGGAAAAAAAGAAAAAAA